AGAGGCACCGCCUGCCCAGUGACAUUACAGUUAAACGGCCGCGGUAUCCUGACCGUGCAAAGGUAGCAUAAUCAUUUGUUCCUUAAUUAGGGACUUGUAUGAAUGGCAUCACGAGGGUUUAACUGUCUCUUACAUUUAAUCAAUGAAAUUGACCUUUCCGUGAAGAGGCGGAAAUUAUAAAAUAAGACGAGAAGACCCUAUGGAGCUUAAAUUACUACUCUCAAUUCUUACAAAUCCUCCUAAAUCUACUAGACAUAACUCUACAAGAACUAUGAAGUAAAAAUUUUGGUUGGGGUGACCUCGGAGCAUAAAUAAACCUCCGAAAGACUUCCAUAAAGACUGACAAGUCGAUAUUACCCAAGUCUAUACAUUGACCCAGACUCUGUUCUGACCAAUGAACCAAGUUACCCUAGGGAUAACAGCGCAAUCCUAUUAAAGAGUCCAUAUCGAUAAUUAGGGUUUACGACCUCGAUGUUGGAUCAGGACAUCCUAAUGGUGCAGCAGCUAUUGAAGGUUCGUUUGUUCAACGAUUAAAGUCCUACGUGAUC
rnacentral:rRNA from 1 species